rnacentral:tRNA from 1 species
UCCCCGUUGGCUCAGCAGUAAAGAAUCUGCCUGCAAAGCAGGAGACCCAGGAGACCCAGGUUCAAUCCCUGGGUUGGGAA